UGGGGAAUAUUGGGGCAAUGGGGGGAAACCCUGACCCAGCAACGCCGCGUGAAGGAAGAAGGCCUUCGGGUUGUAAACUUCUUUUACCAGGGACGAAGGACGUGACGGUACCUGGAGAAAAAGACAACGGCUAACUACGUGCCAGCAGCCGCGGUAAUACGUAGGUUGCAAGCGUUGUCCGGAUUUACUGGGUGUAAAGGGCGUGUAGGCGGAGAUGCAAGUUGGGAGUGAAAUCCAUGGGCUCAACCCAUGAACUGCUCUCAAAACUGUAUCCCUUGAGUAUCGGAGAGGCAAGCGGAAUUCCUAGUGUAGCGGUGAAAUGCGUAGAUA
rnacentral:rRNA from 1 species